rnacentral:tRNA from 1 species
GCCUCUGUGGCUUAGCGGUAUAGCGAUUGAUUCGUAAUGAGUCGGUCGGGGGUUCAAUUCCCCCCAGAGGCU